rnacentral:rRNA from 1 species
UACGGAGGGUGCAAGCGUUAAUCGGAAUUACUGGGCGUAAAGCGUGCGUAGGCGGUUCGUUAAGUCUGUUGUGAAAGCCCCGGGCUCAACCUGGGGGCUGCAUACGAGACGUAUGGGCUUGAGUGCGGAAGAGGGUCGUGGAAUUCCCAGUGUAGAGGUGAAAUUCGUAGAUAUUAGGAAGAACACCAGUGGCGAAGGCGGCUCACUGGUCCGGUACUGACGCUGAGGUGCGAAAGCGUGGGGAGCAACAGG